rnacentral:rRNA from 1 species
CGUAGGGUGCAAGCGUUAAUCGGAAUUACUGGGCGUAAAGCGUGCGCAGGCGGUUGUGCAAGACCGAUGUGAAAUCCCCGGGCUUAACCUGGGAAUGGCAUUGGUGACUGCACGGCUAGGGUGUGUCAGAGGGGGGUAGAAUUCCACGUGUAGCAGUGAAAUGCGUAGAGAUGUGGAGGAAUACCGAUGGCGAAGGCAGCCCCCUGGGAUAACACUGACGCUCAUGCACGAAAGCGUGGGGAGCAAACAGGAUUAGAUACCCUGGUAGUCCACGCCCUAAACGAUGUCAACUAGUUGUCGGGUCUUAAUUGACUUGGUAACGCAGCUAACGCGUGAAGUUGACCGCCUGGGGAGUACGGUCGCAAGAUUA